UACGGAGGGAGCUAGCGUUGUUCGGAAUUACUGGGCGCAAAGCGCACGUAGGCGGCUAUUCAAGUCAGAGGUGAAAUCCCUAGGCUUAACCUGGGAACUGCAUCCGAUACUGGAUGGCUUGAAUCCGGGAGAGGGAUGCAGAAUUCCAGGUGUAGCGGUGAAAUGCGUAGAUAUCUGGAGGAAUACCGGUGGCGAAGGCGGCAUCCUGGACCGGCAUUGACGCUGAUGAGCGAAAGCGUGGGGAGCAAACAGG
rnacentral:rRNA from 1 species